ensembl:lincRNA Gm7160 predicted gene 7160
GGCACAUCCCGCGCGGUCCUAAUGCUUGAUGGGUUCCAGCAGACUGAGGACGUGGGUUUGGGACUUUCGGACCACGGCGAGGUGAGCUUGGCCCGGAGCGGCAGAAGUGGGCGAGGUUCGCGUGGGAGGAGGGACAUCGACUUAGUUUUUCUUGAGAGAUCUGACCGUGCCGUGGCUGCAGACCAUCUUCGCGUCAGCCACCGCCCUGGAUCACGCCAAGUGGGUUCCCAGCCCCUGCCGCCUCGUGAACUCCGCCAAAGUCAGCCACGGGAGAUUACCAUAUUCUAAAACUUCACCUGGACCGUUGGUGUGAACGCUGGGACGAAGAUCCAGGAGUUAGGUCGGGAUGUAGAGUGGUUUUGGGCGGCGAGCGCCCUUGCUCAGGCUGGCUGCAAGGUGCUGCUUUGGGCCGGGUAUCCGGCUGAGGGGACCCUGUUGCUGGGGGUGCUUGGCCUAAUGGUUGCAUCUGGCUUGCAAGGUUAAGUUUAAGGACGCCCUCCUGCCCCAAAUCUAUGGUUUGCGCAAUCACUUAUUGCCUACGUUUUAGUUCCUAUCCGUGAACAUUUGGAAUUCUUGAGCUGGUGUGAAUUUCCUGUAACUCUUUUAAACAAUUUAAUAAGUUACUGUCUUGUCAGGGUUUUAAGUUUUUAAGCGAUAUUACAUUUUUAAGUUUUGUAGACACCGCCCUCCCUAUGACUCUUUCAGUGAUAUGUAUAGCCCAACCAUAAAAAUCAAUUUAAAAACCAAACCAACCCAAGGGGCCAUGAUUGCUCUCAGAGCCAUCAGGACCAUCCUGUCUCAUUUGUGCUGGAGCCUGACUGCCGGUCAAGAGUUCUUGGCAUGCUGUUUGUCAGUCCAUGAUUGUAAAUAAAUAUAAAUCUUGUGCCCAGGGGCGGGGGAAACAGGAUUAUUAUUAUUAUUAUUAUUAUUAUUAUUAUUAUUUGAGGGUCCAUAAUAGUAGUUUCUUUGUGUGUUUGCUUUUUAAAAUUUCCGACAGUUUUAAAUAAAGAACUUAUACCAC